rnacentral:rRNA from 1 species
UGCGAGUCAAUGGGCGCACUAAACCCAAAGGCGAAAUGAAAGUGACACAAUACUUGAAAGAGUGUAAUGCUCUUUGGGCUGAUCCUCGACCGGCUGUCUUCAGAUUGGUUCAGACUGGGAGAAGUGGGUGGGUGAGACCCUUUCCCUACYUAACCUUCCGUCUGGCCUUUUUGUUGUGCGAAGGUCUUUUUUGCUCCUUCGGGAGGGGGCGCAAGCCCGGGACUUGCCAUAUGACGCGCUGCAUUUCAUGUCUGCAUAAAAGUGCUGCGGCAGCUGCUYUACUACUACUGUGCAUUUUUAAUGUUCUAGUUGGUAUAGUAGUUUGUUUGUAGUAUUUGCAGUAAUUUGUAUGCGGUUGUAGUCGGCAAGUACCUUGAGCAUACAUGUUGGGACCCGAAAGAUGGUGAACUAUGCCUGGCCAGGAUGAAGCCAGAGGAAACUCUGGUGGAGGUCCGUAGCGAUUCUGACGUGCAAAUCGAUCGUCGGAGCUGGGUAUAGGGGYGAAAGACUAAUCGAACCAUCWAGUAGCUGGUUCCCUCCGAAGUUUCCCUCAGGAUAGCUGGAGCUCAUUGAAUGAAUUUCAUCCGGUAAAGCGAAUGAUUAGAGGUCUUGGGGAUGAAACGUUCUCAACCUAUUCYCAAACUUUAAAUGGGUGAGAUGCCAAGCUUGCUUAAAAAGUGAAGCUUUGGCGAUUAAUCAGAGAGUAUCUAGUGGGCCACUUUU